UUAACCUGCGAACUCCAUUGGAGUCGAGAUUGUUAGUUUUCAACUUCCAGAGAUUCAACAUCGAACGUGCUCUAUAAAGUUAAUUCACGCUCAUUCAUAGGAAAUUCUAAUGAAAAUUUCCAACAGCGAGAUCAAUUGGAGUCGAGAUUAUUAGUGUUCAACUGCCAGAGGUUCAUCAUCGAAGCUUCAAUCGAACACAGUUCAUAAAAGCUCUAGCAGGAGAUCGAUUACCUUUUGCCAUGGCCAGAAGCGAGGGAAUUUGAGACUUCGCAGAAGGGAAGGAGAUGAAAUCGUGGAGCAGCUAACGUGCGCCGUGGGGACAGCAGAAGACAUUAACAGAGCCAUUAGUGCUGAAGCAGAGAAAGAGAAAAAAGCCUCUGUGGGUUUUGUAAAAUGGAUAAGAGCUGAAAUUAAUCCAACGGUCAGGAACAAAACAGAUCAAUCUACUGCAACAUUCAGGCGUACACUCCCACCCAACGUACAUGGAUCUACAAACGCAGAUCGGUCCGAUCAAUGCCAGAGCUUCCGGAGGUGCAGGCGGCGCGCAGGGCGGUGGAAGAACACUGUGUGGGGAAGAAGAUCAAUAAAUGCACUGUAGCUGAUGAUUCGAAGGUAAUCGACGGCGUCUUCCCGAAGGACUUCGAAUCAGCGCUCGCCGGGAAAACUAUAGUCGCCGCGCAUCGGAAGGGGAAGAAUAUGGGGCUCGAGCUCGAUUCACCUCCUUUUCCCACGUUUCAAUUCGGUGCUUCCCUCGGAAUAGAACCUGAUUUCGGAUAUAAUCUUUUUGUGUUGACAUGUGGAGAUUUAAUUUUUGGAUUUUCAGAAGUUUUGGGAAUUCUUAUUCUCUUUCUUAUUGUUUGUUUCUAUUUCCUAUAGUGCUAGUGGGCUGCCUGGUGUUUUAGGAAUUCGAACAUUUCUCUUGUUGUCGAGUUCAAACGAUUUGUUCGGUGUUUCAAGAAUUUUUACACUUUUCUUGGCGUCGAGUGGAAUUGCCGGUGGUUCCUGUGGGUUUGGUCCUGUAGGAAUUUUCCUCUUGAUAUUGUUGAAUGGUAUUGCUGGUGGUUCUUGUGGGUUCGGUCCCGUUGGAAUUCUUCUUUUGAUAUUGUCAAAUUGUAUUGCAUGUGGUGAUUUCGGUGGUUUCUCUGGAUUCGGACCAGUUGGAACUUUUCUUUUGAUAUUGCCAAGUGAUAUAGUGUGCGGCGAUUCUGGUGGUUUCUCCGGAUUUGGACCAGUAGGAACUUUUCUUUUGAUAUUGUCAAAUGAUAUUGCCUGCGGUGAUUCGGGUGGUUUCUCCGGAUUUGGACCAGUAGGAACUUUUCUUUUGAUAUUGUCAAAUGAUAUUGUGUGUGGCGAUUCCGGUGGUUUCUCUGGAUUUGGACCAGUAGAAACUCGUCUUAUAAUA